UACGUAGGGUCCGAGCGUUGUCCGGAAUUAUUGGGCGUAAAGGGCUCGUAGGCGGUUUGUCGCGUCGGGAGUGAAAACACCGGGCUUAACUCGGUGCUUGCUUUCGAUACGGGCAGACUUGAGGCAUGCAGGGGAGAACGGAAUUCCUGGUGUAGCGGUGAAAUGCGCAGAUAUCAGGAGGAACACCGGUGGCGAAGGCGGUUCUCUGGGCCUGUUCUGACGCUGAGGAGCGAAAGCGUGGGGAGCGAACAGG
rnacentral:rRNA from 1 species